rnacentral:lncRNA from 1 species
ACAGCAUAAUGUGCUAUGGAGAUGGUAUGUAAUGUAGUAGCCGUUCUUACUGAUGCUAUUAGAUUAUACAAGUUUUAAAAUUUCAGUAUUUUUCUUUGUAUUUAAUUAUGGGUAACGAUGCCUAUUUUUCGCAUUGAUUAGAGUUGCCGGAUUGAGGCUUUUACGGGGCUCGUUAGCAAGGGUUCACACGGCGAUUUUUGUACAUCAAGUUGUCGGAUUGAGGCUUUUACUGGACUGGUUAGCAAGGGUACCACAGUUGAUGUUGAUAAUAAUAAGAAUGGUAUGUUUCAAAUAGUAUAGGUGCUCACUAUUGUUGAUUUGGUUAGCUUGAGUGUAAAUAAUUUGGACAUGCAUAAUGAUUGUGCAUGUGUGUAGGUGCGAGCUGAGUUUCAAGCAAUUUCACUGAUGAAAAUUUCCCUAAUGAUCCACAUGCGUCAUACGAAGUUUCACUGUUUUUGCCACAAUUAGACUGAGAACAUUUUGUUCGUCACGGGUUUCUCGCUCAACACUAGCCAUGAUGCUUCGAGUUCCAGCUUAGCUCCUGGUAGCAUGAAGAGCUGUUAAGGCGAUCCUUUUGAUUGUGUCAUUUAGGAGUUAGAUAAUAGUUGGUGUAAGGUAAUCAAAGAUACAUGGUCCAUUGGUUCUCUCUCAAUUUGAGUCGACAAACCUUGUACUUUAGUAGUCACUUAUAAUCAUAAGUUCAUCUCAGUUUAAUUCGGCCUCUGAAAAUUUCAUACCAAUUUAGAAUUUUAUAUCUAAAUAAAAAAGUUAAGAGUUUCAUGUUUAUUUUGUUCUCUUCGCUCGAAAAUUUAUUUUUUCAUAUGAAAAUAUAAAUCCAU